CUUUUUCUUCCUUUACUAAAGUACUUCACUUAGCCAGUGUCUGUCACUUAGUGGGUGCUCAAUAAGUAUUUUAAUAAAUUAAUAGAGGAAGCAGGGGACUCUGAUGUGUCCCACACUAAUGUCUAUCCUGGGGUGGCAGGAUACAGCCAGGCAGGAGGCCUCGGUUCUCAUUUGCCCCAGCCCACGCGGGCACCUCCAGGCACUCCCUGAGCUGCGUGAACAGAACCCGCUUUGAGGCAAAGAAGCAGCAAGCAAGAGACUGGCAUUUGCUUUAGUGGGAUUUGCAGGCAGGUUCCCGCAAGAGUGUAGGUUCCAGGCUCCAAGUCAUGCCAACUGCUUCUCCAUGUACCGCGGAGCACCGCGGCUUCCCUGGGCUGCGCACAGGUUUCAGCCGAGGGCCUGAGCCUGGGUGCACCCAGCCCCCGGGCGCGGCGGGAAAGCGGGGAAGGACGCCCAGGGCGCGGGAGACUUGGCCAGCAGAGGGCGCGCGCGCUCAGUCGGCCCGCGCGUUCCCGGAGGCGGCUCCGGCCAGUGGCUAGUUUCGGGAUCACGCCUCGCUCUCCUGAGAGGGGGGGGCUGAGGAGCGCCUGAGGACUGUCCCCCCCCCACCCCAUGGCUACUCCGUUCAAGGAAGGGAGCAAGCCCGUGCGUUUCCCGGCUCUACGCUCAGUGCCCAGAAGUCCGCCUGGCCUGGGGUGCACAGUGCAGCUAACUGAGCGUGAGAGCAGUUUUGGAAAAAAGGCACAAAGGACACCCAUCGUCGCGACCUGCGUCCCGGAGUUCCUGCAGCUUCCCGCUGACUGCCCCCUCCUGUGGGCCCUGACUGCAGCUGCUGAGCCCAGGCCCCGCGGGCCCCACGCAUCCCCCUGUGGCCGGGACUUCCCGGGUACUGCUCGGCGGGAUGGCAGCUGCGGUCAGCCCAUGGCCCAGGUGAGCCAGCGACAUUCGCGUUACGUUCACGGAGCAGCAGAGCGGACUGACCUUGCGUCCUCCGCGGCGCGCGGUGCUGUCCGCUGGCAGGGUCAAGCCGGGAAACUGAGGCUUGGCCACCGAGCGAAAGCGUUGGCUUGGGGCGGGAGUGGUUCUGCCCACAGCGGUCCCCUCCCUUGGGCAGAGCUUGCGGGGAGCUCAGCACAGCGGGCCCAGCCGGUGGGCACCCCCGGGCGCUGGGCUCCCGAACCGGGCGCUCGUCGCUCCCUCGGGCCUCGCGGCGCACUCCGGCGAGUGUCCUGACGGUCGGCGCCAUUCCGUUCCCGCCUCUGGGACUCCAUCUCUCCACCUGCCAAGUGGG
rnacentral:lncRNA from 1 species